rnacentral:rRNA from 1 species
GAACGCUAGCGGCAGGCUUAAUACAUGCAAGUCGUGGGGCAGCAUGAGUAGCAAUACUUGAUGGCGACCGGCAAACGGGUGAGGAACACGUACACAACCUUCUUUCAAGCGGGGAAUAGCCCAGAGAAAUUUGGAUUAAUACCCAUAAUAUAUUUGAUAAGGCAUCUUAUUAAUAUUAAAGCUUCGGCACUUGAUGAUGGGUGUGCGGCUGAUUAGAUAGUUGGCGGGGUAACGGCCCACCAAGUCUACGAUCAGUAGCUGAUGUGAGAGCAUGAUCAGCCGCACGGGCACUGAGACACGGGCCCGACUCCUACGGGAGGCAGCAGUAAGGAAUAUUGGACAAUGGACGAAAGUCUGAUCCAGCCAUGCCGCGUGAAGGAUUAAGGUCCUCUGGAUUGUAAACUUCUUUUAUAUGGGACGAAAAAAGGGCAUUCUUGUUCACUUGACGGUACCAUAUGAAUAAGCACCGGCUAACUCCGUG